rnacentral:tRNA from 1 species
GCCCAGGUGGUGAAAUUGGUAGACACGCCAGCUUGAGGGGCUGGUGACCGUUAGGUCGUGCAAGUUCGAGUCUUGUUCUGGGCA